AUGGCAAAGUCACAACAAGGAUCCUAUUCGAAUCCAGUGAGACUCAUCUCAAUGAGACUCAACGGGACUGUGGUGUGUGUUGGAGUCUGCUGUACUCUCUGUGUCCAGCUUCUGCUGUUCUCUCCUCUCUCCUCUCCUCUCUUCUGGUUUAUCACCUCUGUCAGAAAAAAGCUAAAGAACCUCCAGCUGAUCAGCAAAGACCUCACACAAGACUGAAUCAGGAUGAAGAUGUGUGUUAUGCUGCACUGGAAAUCCGUCCGGCAUCACACAGACCAAAGAAGAAGAAAACCCAGAGUUCUGACUUCAGCACCUAUUCUGCCAUCAAUACUUCUAGGAUGUAGAGAGUCUACAACAAAAGACAUGACUAGAGACUAAGGAUGCUAAUUUUGAAUUUUUUUUUUAACC